rnacentral:rRNA from 1 species
UCGAACGGCAGCACGGGGGCAACCCUGGUGGCGAGUGGCGAACGGGUGAGUAAUACAUCGGAACGUGUCCUGUAGUGGGGGAUAGCCCGGCGAAAGCCGGAUUAAUACCGCAUACGAUCUACGGAAGAAAGCGGGGGAUCCUUCGAGCACCUCGCGCUAUAGGGGCGGCCGAUGGCAGAUUAGCUAGUUGGUGGGGUAAAGGCCUACCAAGGCGACGAUCUGUAGCUGGUCUGAGAGGACGACCAGCCACACUGGGACUGAGACACGGCCCAGACUCCUACGGGAGGCAGCAGUGGGGAAUUUUGGACAAUGGGGGAAACCCUGAUCCAGCAAUGCCGCGUGUGUGAAGAAGGCCUUCGGGUUGUAAAGCACUUUUGUCCGGAAAGAAAACCUUUGCACUAAUACUGUGGGGGGAUGACGGUACCGGAAGAAUAAGCC